UCGGGAAUUUUGGGCAAUGGGGGAAACCCUGACCCAGCGACGCCGCGUGAAGGAUGAAGUAUUUCGGUAUGUAAACUUCGAAAGAAUAGGAAGAAUAAAUGACGGUACUAUUUAUAAGGUCCGGCUAACUACGUGCCAGCAGCCGCGGUAAUACGUAGGGACCAAGCGUUGUUCGGAUUUACUGGGCGUAAAGGGCGCGUAGGCGGCAUGACAAGUCACUUGUGAAAUCUCUGGGCUUAACCCAGAACGGCCAAGUGAUACUGUCGCGCUAGAGUGCAGAAGGGGCAAUCGGAAUUCUUGGUGUAGCGGUGAAAUGCGUAGAUAUCAAGAGGAACACCUGAGGUGAAGACGGGUUGCUGGGCUGACACUGACGCUGAGGCGCGAAAGCCAGGGGAGCAAACGGGAUUAGAUACCCCCGUAGUCCCUGAGCGGGCUGGCAAGGCGCAU
rnacentral:rRNA from 1 species